UACGAAGGGGGCUAGCGUUGCUCGGAAUCACUGGGCGUAAAGCGCACGUAGGCGGAUUGUUAAGUCAGGGGUGAAAUCCUGGAGCUCAACUCCAGAACUGCCUUUGAUACUGGCGAUCUCGAGUCCGGGAGAGGUGAGUGGAACUGCGAGUGUAGAGGUGAAAUUCGUAGAUAUUCGCAAGAACACCAGUGGCGAAGGCGACUUUCUGGCCUGUUCUUGACGCUGAGGCGCGAAAGCUAGGGGAGCAAACGGG
rnacentral:rRNA from 1 species